GCAAGUGAAAAUUAUCAUAUGAACUGAACCAGCAACAUAACAAUAUGAAAAUACACCGCAAUAAGAAAUGACUGCCAUAUUCAGCUUUUCUUGCUCAGUUGAUAUGUAUUAAUUGAAGGAUAAAUAGAAUAAACUAGACAAAGAGUUGACAGCAUUUGCAUGCACAGUUACAUUAUAAACCACAGUGGACAAAUGCAUGUUACAGUAGCACAAUAGUUACUAAUAAAACUGAAUAAGCACAAGCAAACGUAGAGUAUGAAUAAUUAUUUAAAAGUUUGGUGGAAUUAGCAAAACAUCAAAUUAAAAUUGCAUCAACAUUAACAUAUAAUCAUGGCCAGUGAAGUGGUUAUUGGGUGAUAUGAUUGUCACAUACUAUAGAAGAAAGUAUAAUGGUAAUAGGAAGGGGCACUUUGGUGGGAAAGGAAGCUAGAGUGUAUAACUUAUUCUGUAACAGAUUUAGUUACUGUUACAUUUGACUUUAGAGAAGUAGUUGCUGAGUUUGAGAUAUAAAUUCUCAAAAAAGCUAAUCUUGUCAUUCAUUCAAGAAUUAUCAAAGAA
rnacentral:misc_RNA from 1 species